rnacentral:rRNA from 1 species
CCUACGGGUGGCAGCAGUGAGGAAUAUUGGUCAAUGGACGCAAGUCUGAACCAGCCAUGCCGCGUGCAGGAAGACGGCUCUAUGAGUUGUAAACUGCUUUUGUACGAGGGUAAACGCAGAUACGCGUAUCUGUCUGAAAGUAUCGUACGAAUAAGGAUCGGCUAACUCCGUGCCAGCAGCCGCGGUAAUACGGAGGAUUCAAGCGUUAUCCGGAUUUAUUGGGUUUAAAGGGUGGGCAGGCGGUCGGAUAAGUUAGAGGUGAAAUCCCGAGGCUCAACUUCGGAAUUGCCUCUGAUACUGUUCGGCUAGAGAGUAGGUGCGGUAGGCGGAAUGUAUGGUGUAGCGGUGAAAUGCUUAGAGAUCGUACAGAACACCGAUUGCGAAGGCAGCUUACCAGGCUACUUCUGACGUUGAGGCACGAAAGCGUGGGGAGCGAACAGGAUUAGAUACCCCUGUAGUC